rnacentral:tRNA from 1 species
GCCUUCGUGGUGUAACGGUAGCACACUCGGCUCGUAUUUGAGAGGUCAAGGUUGGGAUCCCGGCGAGGACA